AAUAAGCUAAACUUCAAGCUAUUGGGCUCAUACCCCGAAAAUGGAUUCCCCCCUUUUAUCAAU
rnacentral:tRNA from 1 species